rnacentral:rRNA from 1 species
GACGAACGCUGGCGGCGUGCCUAAUACAUGCAAGUAGAACGCACAGUUUAUACCGUAGCUUGCUACACCAUAAACUGUGAGUUGCGAACGGGUGAGUAACGCGUAGGUAACCUGCCUGGUAGCGGGGGAUAACUAUUGGAAACGAUAGCUAAUACCGCAUAAUAUUGAUUAUUGCAUGAUAAUUGAUUGAACGAUGCUAUUGCAUCACUACCAGAUGGACCUGCGUUGUAUUAGCUAGUAGGUGAGGUAACGGCUCACCUAGGCGACGAUACAUAGCCGACCUGAGAGGGUGAGCGGCCACACUGGGACUGAGACACGGCCCAGACUCCUACGGGAGGCAGCAGUAGGGAAUCUUCGGCAAUGGACGAAAGUCUGACCGAGCAACGCCGCGUGAGUGAAGAAGGUUGUCGGAUCGUAAAGCUCGGUUGUAAGAGAAGAACGGGUGUGAGAGUGGAAAGUUCACACUGUGACGGUAUCUUACCAGAAAGGGACGGCUAACUACGUG